GACAGAGGGUGCAAACGUUGCUCGGAAUUACUGGGCGUAAAGCGCGUGUAGGUGGAUUGGUGUGUCAGAUGUGAAAGCCCUGGGCUCAACCCAGGAACUGCACCUGAAACUACCAGUCUUGAGUGGUGGAGAGGGAAGUGGAAUUCCCAGUGUAGAGGUGAAAUUCGUAGAUAUUGGGAAGAACACCGGUGGCGAAGGCGGCAACCUGGUCCUUGACUGACGCUGAGGCGCGAAAGCGUGGGGAGCAAACAGG
rnacentral:rRNA from 1 species